rnacentral:pre_miRNA from 1 species
ACCAUGCUGUAGUAUGUGUAAACAUCCUACACUCUCAGCUGUGAGCUUGAGGUGGCUGGGAGAGGGUUGUUUACUCCUUCUGCCAUGGA